rnacentral:rRNA from 1 species
GACGAACGCUGGCUGCGUGCUUAACACAUGCAAGUCGAACGGAAAGGCCCUGCUUUUGUGGGGUGCUCGAGUGGCGAACGGGUGAGUAACACUUGAGUAACCUGCCCUUGACUUUGGGAUAACUUCAGGAAACUGGGGCUAAUACCGGAUAGGUGCUCCUUCUGUAUGGUGGGUGUUGGAAAGUUUCGGCGGUUGGGGAUGGACUCGCGGCUUAUCAGCUUGUUGGUGUGGUAGUGGCUUACCAAGGCUUUGACGGGUAGCCGGCCUGAGAGGGUGACCGGCCAAAUUGGGACUGAGAUACGGCCCAGACUCCUAAGGGAGGCAGCAGUGGGGAAGAUUGCACGAUGGGCGGAAGCCUGAUGCAGCAACGCCGCGUGAGGGAUGACGGACUUCGGGUUGUAAACCGCUAAGGCCUGUGACGAAGCGUGAGUGAAGGUAAUGGGUAAAGAAGCACCGGCUAACUACGUG